CAAUUGAAGGGUUUGAUCCUGGCUCAGAAUGAACGUUGGCGGCAUGGAUUAGGCAUGCAAGUCGAGCGAGAAGUUUCCUUCGGGAAGCGGAAAGCGGCGAAAGGGAGAGUAACGCGUAGAUAUCUGCCCUCAGGUCUGGGAUACCCACCGGAAACGGUGAUUAAUACCGGAUAAUGUCUCAGGACCAAAGAUUUAUUGCCUGAGGAGGAGUCUGCGUCCUACUAGCUAGUUGGUGUGGUAAUGGCG
rnacentral:rRNA from 1 species